rnacentral:rRNA from 1 species
GACGUAGGGCGCGAGCGUUGUCCGGAUUUAUUGGGCGUAAAGAGCUCGUAGGCGGCUUGUCGCGUCGUCCGUGAAAACCCACGGCUUAACUGUGGGCUUGCGGUCGAUACGGGCAGGCUAGAGUUCGGUAGGGGAGACUGGAAUUCCUGGUGUAGCGGUGAAAUGCGUAGAGAUCCGGAGGAACCCAGAGGCGAAGGCGACGCCCUGGCUCGUACCUGACGCUCAGCCACGAAAGCAUGGGGAGCGAACGGG